rnacentral:rRNA from 1 species
AACGAACGCUGGCGGCAGGCUUAACACAUGCAAGUCGAACGCUGUAGCAAUACAGAGUGGCAGACGGGUGAGUAACACGUGGGAACAUACCUUUUGGUUCGGAACAACGCAGGGAAACUUGCGCUAAUACCGAGUGUGCCCUUACGGGGAAAGAUUUAUCGCCAAAGGAUUAGCCCGCGUAGGAUUAGCUAGUUGGUGAGGUAAUGGCUCACCAAGGCUCCGAUCCUUAGCUGUUCNGAGAGGAAGAUCAGCCACAC